rnacentral:rRNA from 1 species
UACGGGGGGGGCAAGCGUUGUUCGGAAUUACUGGGCGUAAAGGGCUCGUAGGCGGCUAACUAAGUCAGACGUGAAAUCCCCAGGCUCAACCUGGGAACUGCGUCUGAUACUGGAUGGCUUGAAUCCGGGAGAGGGAUGCAGAAUUCCAGGUGUAGCGGUGAAAUGCGUAGAUAUCUGGAGGAACACCGGUGGCGAAGGCGGCGUCCUGGACCAACACUGACACUGAGGAGCGAAAGCCAGGGGAGCAAACGGG